rnacentral:rRNA from 1 species
UAGCUAGUUGGUGGGGUAAGGGCCUACCAAGGCGACGAUCGGUAGCUGGUCUGAGAGGAUGACCAGCCACACUGGAACUGAGACACGGUCCAGACUCCUACGGGAGGCAGCAGUGGGGAAUAUUGGACAAUGGGGGCAACCCUGAUCCAGCAAUGCCGCGUGUGUGAAGAAGGCCUGAGGGUUGUAAAGCACUUUCAGUGGGGAGGAGGGUUGAUAGGUUAAGAGCUAAUUAACUGGACGUUACCCACAGGAGAAGCACCGGCUAACUCCGUGCCAGCAGCCGCGGUAAUACGGAGGGUGCGAGCGUUAAUCGGAAUUACUGGGCGUAAAGGGUGCGUAGGUGGUUGAUUAAGUUAUCUGUGAAAUUCCUGGGCUUAACCUGGGACGGUCAGAUAAUACUGGUUGACUCGAGUAUGGGAGAGGGUAGUGGAAUUUCCGGUGUAGCGGUGAAAUGCGUAGAGAUCGGAAGGAACACCAGUGGCGAAGGCGGCUACCUGGCCUAAUACUGACACUGAGGCACGAAAGCGUGGGGAGCAAACAGGAUUAGAUACCCUGGUAGUCCACGCUGUAAACGAUGUCAACUAGCUGUUGGUUAUAUGAAAAUAAUUAGUGGCGC